UACGUAGGUGGCAAGCGUUGUCCGGAAUUAUUGGGCGUAAAGCGCGCGCAGGCGGUUCUUUAAGUCUGAUGUGAAAGCCCACGGCUCAACCGUGGAGGGUCAUUGGAAACUGGAGAACUUGAGUACAGAAGAGGAAAGCGGAAUUCCACGUGUAGCGGUGAAAUGCGUAGAGAUGUGGAGGAACACCAGUGGCGAAGGCGGCUUUCUGAUCUGUAACUGACGCUGAGGCGCGAAAGCGUGGGGAGCAAACAGG
rnacentral:rRNA from 1 species